GUUUAUUUAACGACGCCCUUUCUUCUCCCGCUCGCACUAAACGCCUGCUACGCAGGCUACCCUUAUUCCAAUGUUGAAACCUACUGUACUUAUCCAAAACGAACAGGAAAGGUGGCACUAGAACCGCGACUGUGUCACUGGCAGUUGAAAUGUAACAUAUGAUGUUGGAAUUAAACUAUAUUGUAGUGCCUAACAACAUUGAAAUCGGGGGAGGGGGUUUGUCUCAAAUAUUUUGUGGACGAUUGUAGGUACGAGGUUGUAUGUACGCUGGAUCGACUUGUGGGCAUGGCUAAACAGGUCCCUAUAGUCGGUUAUACGCAGCUGUUCGUAAAUAAUUUUCGAGCAAUUUCCAC